GAGUGGCGGACGGGUGAGUAAUGUCUGGGAAACUGCCUGAUGGAGGGGGAUAACUACUGGAAACGGUAGCUAAUACCGCAUAACGUCGCAAGACAAAAGAGGGGGACCUUCGGGCCUCUUGCCAUCAGAUGUGCCCAGAUGGGAUUAGCUAGUAGGUGGGGUAACGGCUCACCUAGGCGACGAUCCCUAGCUGGUCUGAGAGGAUGACCAGCCACACUGGAACUGAGACACGGUCCAGACUCCUACGGGAGGCAGCAGUGGGGAAUAUUGCACAAUGGGCGCAAGCCUGAUGCAGCCAUGCCGCGUGUAUGAAGAAGGCCUUCGGGUUGUAAAGUACUUUCAGCGGGGAGGAAGGUGUUGUGGUUAAUAACCGCAGCAAUUGACGUUACCCGCAGAAGAAGCACCGGCUAACUCCGUGCCAGCAGCCGCGGUAAUACGGAGGGUGCAAGCGUUAAUCGGAAUUACUGGGCGUAAAGCGCACGCAGGCGGUCUGUCAAGUCGGAUGUGAAAUCCCCGGGCUCAACCUGGGAACUGCAUUCGAAACUGGCAGGCUAGAGUCUUGUAGAGGGGGGUAGAAUUCCAGGUGUAGC
rnacentral:rRNA from 1 species